UUGAUGCUUCAAGGUCUGGAUUUUAUCCUC
rnacentral:piRNA from 1 species